rnacentral:ncRNA from 2 species
UACUCUAUCCAGAGUGGACGAGGGACACGGCCCGAAGACUCCACGGCAACCCGUCGUUUAGUCUCUUUUAUAAAGACCCAACGACACGGUGCUCCAUCCGCCCCGGCCUUUUAGGCUCGUGGGAAAGAUAAUUA